rnacentral:lncRNA from 1 species
AUGCCCAGGCUCGAGUUCAGUCAGCGUUUUCAGUUAAAACGACUGAGCAGCCUGCGCUGUCGCGUCCUGGCAGAGCGCGCGGAACGCCGCCAGGCCACACAGUCUGUGAUGAGCCCUCGACCUCCGCUCCUCGCGACGCCUGGCCGGUCCCCCAUCCCUUACCUGGUCGGGGUUGUGCACCAGGGGGCAGUUGUCGCAGUGAUCACCCACACCGUCCCCGUCCGUGUCCCGCUGGUCGGUGUUGUAGACGUAGGGACAGUUGUCUCGCUCAUUGAAGACAUCUUCCCCGUCGAUGUCCGCGGAGCAGGCGUCGCCCUCCCCGUUGCUGUCCGUGUCGAUCUGUGCCGGGUUGUGCACGUAGGGGCAGUUGUCGCAUCGGUCCCCAACCUCGUCUUUGUCGUAGUCGAACUGGCGGGGGUUGAAGAGAAGCUGGCAGUUGUCCUAGAAAAAAGUCGAGAGAAGAAUUCCAGAAACAGCGUAGAGACGCUUGCUGGGUUACUCAUAACAGGACUCGGCACUUACAAGUCGUGUAUUUAAAGCAGAUCAAGAUAACCAGGGUAGAAAUACAGCCAGGAAGCUCUACCUACAAUUUCUUGACAUCAAGUCAUUUCAUAAUUAUUUACACAGUCUCUCCCUAUGAAAAAUUUUGAGACUGUCUGUGGUAAAGGUGAUGAUAUAGUAUACACACCACGGUGAGGACAGACACACAGAUGGUGACGAUAGACACGUCAAUGCUGAGGGAAUGAAGGAUCCAAAGAGUUAAUGCAUCAGUGGAAGUGAGCCUGCAAACAAAACUUAGCUGCUCGGUGUCUGCUGAGUCAUGUAUGGAUACGUUAGAUCACACAUGUCUGCACGGAGAUCCAACCAGUCCAUGCUAAAGGAAGUCAGCCCUGAAUAGUCACUAGAAGGACUGAUGUUAAAGCUGAAGCUCCAGUCCUUUGGCCACCUGAUGUGACUCACUGGAAAAGACCCUGAUGCUGGGAAAGAUUGAAGGCAGGAGGAGAAGGGGACGGCAGAGGAUGAGAUGGUUAGAUGGCAUCACCGACUCAAGGGACAUGAGUUUGAGCAAGCUCCAGGGGUUGGUGAUGGACAGGGAGGCCUGUGUGCUGCAGUCCAUGGGGUCGCAGAGUUGGACAUGGCUGAGCAACUGAACAAGAUUCUGCUAUCAAGGCAGUGAGUGGCAGCAUCUCUCCUUGAAGAGACAGCCCUGCAUCACUGGCACCCCGCCCCCCCAGAAGGACGAACUAUUGAAAACAUUCUACGUAGAGCAGCCCACGUGGCUGCACACCGGGCUGGCUAACGUGCAGGGGAAGCCACAGCGUUCUCCCGGUGACUCUCAGCCUCGCUGGGGAGAGGAGUCCCUGCGCUGCACAGUGACCUUUCCGAAGGAAGCGCUGCCUCCCACCCCAGGCGCUCCGGAGCGCGAACAGCCCCGGGCGCUCCUGAGUGCUGCGCCCCGCCCCGGGUGCUCCUGGUGCAAGGAAGGCCUUGGGCCCUCGGGGGCAGUGGGGUGGGGGGAGGGGGUGGGAACGGGCCCGGGCGCUCCUGAGCGCUGCGCCCCCCACCAUGGGCACUCCCGGUGCGAGGAAGGCCCCGGGCGCUCCAGGGAGGGGAACGG